rnacentral:snRNA from 1 species
GUGUUAGCUUUGGCAUGACAUAUGCUAAAAUUGGAAUGAUACAGAGAUGAUUAGCAAGGCCCCUGUGCAGAUUUGUGGUGCUCCAUAUUUUA